rnacentral:rRNA from 1 species
UAAUACUAGCGGUCCAAGUCGCAGCCAUUUUUAUUGGGUCUAAAACAUCCGUAGCUUGCUUAAUAAGUUUCUUGUAAAAUCCUCUCUCUUAAAGGUAGGACAUGUAAGAAGUACUGUUGAGCUAGAGACUGGAAGGCGUAGGAAGUAUGUUCAAAGUAGCGGUAAAAUGUGUUAAUCUUGAGCAGACUCACAAUCGCGAAGGCAUCCUACGAGGACAGUUCUGACAGUAAGGGAUGAAGGCUAGGGGCGCAAAACAGAUUAGAUACCUGUGUAGUCCUAGCAGUAAACACUGCACACUAAACAUCAGUACCUCCUCGAGAGGUAUUGGCGCUACAGGGAAGCCGAAGAGUGUGCUACCUGGGAAGUAUAGUCGCAAGACCG